GACGAACGCUGGCGGCGUGCUUAACACAUGCAAGUCGAACGGAAAGGCCCUGCUUUUGUGGGGUGCUCGAGUGGCGAACGGGUGAGUAACACGUGAGUAACCUGCCCUUGACUUUGGGAUAACUUCAGGAAACUGGGUCUAAUACCGGAUAGGAGCUCCUGCUGCAUGGUGGGGGUUGGAAAGUUUCGGCGGUUGGGGAUGGACUCGCGGCUUAUCAGCUUGUUGGUGGGGUAGUGGCUGACCAAGGCUUUGACGGGUAGCCGGCCUGAGAGGGUGAACGGCCACCUUGGUCCUGAGAUACGCCCCAGAGUCCUACGGGAGGCAGCAGUGGGGAAUCUUGCACAAUGAGCCGAAGCCUGAUGCAGCAACGCCGCGUUCGGGAUGACGGCCUUCGGGUUGCAAACCGCUUUCGCCUGUGACGAAGCGUGAGUGACGGUAAUGGAUAAAGAAGCACCGGCUAACUACGUG
rnacentral:rRNA from 1 species